rnacentral:rRNA from 1 species
AUUGAACGCUGGCGGCAGGCCUAACACAUGCAAGUCGAACGAGUGGCGGACGGGUGAGUAAUGUCUGGGAAACUGCCCGAUGGAGGGGGAUAACUACUGGAAACGGUAACUAAUACCGCAUACCAUCGGAUGUGCCCAGAUGGGAUUCGCUAGUGGGUGGGGUAACGGCUCACCUCGGCGACGAUCCCUAGCUGGUCUGAGAGGAUGACCAGCAACACGGGAAUUGAGACACGGUCAAGACUCCUACGGGAGGCAGCAGUGGGGAAUAUUGGACAAUGGGCGCAAGCCUGAUGCAGCCAUGCCGCGUGUAGGAAGAAGGCCUUCGGGUUGUAAAGUACUUUCAGCGAGGAGGCGUUACUCGCAGAAGAAGCACCGGCUAACUCCGUGCCAGCAGCCGCGGUAAUUC